rnacentral:rRNA from 1 species
GUGUCAGCAGCCGCGGUAAUACGUAGGAGGCGAGCGUUGUCCGGAUUUACUGGGCGUAAAGGGCGCGCAGGCGGCCCACCAAGUACGAUGUGAAAUCUCCCUGCUCAACGGGGAGGGUGCACUGUAAACUGGUGAGCUAGAGGACGGUAGAGGGGGGUGGAAUUGCUGGUGUAGCGGUGAAAUGCGUAGAGAUCAGCAGGAACACCCGUGGCGAAGGCGGCCCCCUGGGCCGUACCUGACGCUGAGGCGCGAAGGCUAGGGGAGCGAACGGGAUUAGAUACCCCGGUAGUCC